ACAUUCAUCAAAAAUAAAGACCAGUCUAAAUUAGUAGCAAGAGAGAUCAACACUCGAACAGGGGAGAUUUUGGCAACCGGGGAUAAAGUCUCCUCGUAAUCAAUGCCAUAUGUUUGAUAGUAACCCUUAGCAACCAAGCGGACUUUCAGACAUUCCACAGAACCAUCAUGAUGAAAUUUGAUUGUAUAUACCCAUUUACAGCCAACAAGUUGCUUACCAGGUAGUAGUGGAACAAAAUCUCAUGUCUCGUUAUGGUGAAGGGCAUCUAUUUUAUCUUUCA